GGAACGAACGCUGGCGGCAUGCCUAAUACAUGCAAGUCGAACGAACUCUUCGGAGUUAGUGGCGCACGGGUGCGUAACGCGUGGGAAUCUGCCCCUUGGGUUCGGAAUAACAGUUGGAAACGACUGCUAAUACCGGAUGAUGACGAAAGUCCAAAGAUUUAUCGCCCAGGGAUGAGCCCGCGUAGGAUUAGCUAGUUGGUGAGGUAAAGGCUCACCAAGGCGACGAUCCUUAGCUGGUCUGAGAGGA
rnacentral:rRNA from 1 species